UUCAAAGGUACCCUCAGUACGAUUGGUAACCGUACGUGGAGCGCAAUAGCAUAAGGGUGCUUGACUGUGAGACCUACAAGUCGAGCAGGGUCGAAAGACGGAUAUAGU
rnacentral:rRNA from 1 species